rnacentral:rRNA from 1 species
UACGGGGGGGGGCAAGCGUUGUUCGGAAUUACUGGGCGUAAAGGGCCAGUAGGCGGCCAACUAAGUCGGAUGUGAAAUCCCCAGGCUUAACCUGGGAACUGCAUCCGAUACUGGAUGGCUUGAAUUCGGGAGAGGGAUGCAGAAUUCCAGGUGUAGCGGUGAAAUGCGUAGAUAUCUGGAGGAAUACCGGUGGCGAAGGCGGCAUCCUGGACCGGCAUUGACGCUGAGGCGCGAAAGCCAGGGGAGCAAACGGG